rnacentral:rRNA from 1 species
CCUACGGGGUGCAGCAGUGAGGAAUAUUGGUCAAUGGCCGAGAGGCUGAACCAGCCAAGUCGCGUGAGGGAAGACGGCCCUACGGGUUGUCAACCUCUUUUGUCGGGGAGCAAAGCGAGUCACGUGUGACUCAUUGAGAGUACCCGAAUAAAAAGCAUCGGCUAACUCCGUGCCAGCAGCCGCGGUAAUACGGAGGAUGCGAGCGUUAUCCGGAUUUAUUGGGUUUAAAGGGUGCGCAGGGGGAGGUGCAAGUCAGCGGUCAAAUUGCGGGGCUCAACCCCGUACUGCCGUUGAAACUGCAUGCCUUGAGUGCGCGAGAAGUAUGCGGAAUGCGUGGUGUAGCGGUGAAAUGCAUAGAUAUCACGCAGAACUCCGAUUGCGAAGGCAGCAUACCGGCGCGCAACUGACGCUCAUGCACGAAAGCGUGGGUAUCGAACAGGAUUAGAUACCCUGGUAGUC